rnacentral:rRNA from 1 species
GAUGAACGCUGGCUACAGGCUUAACACAUGCAAGUCGAGGGGAAACGACGGGGAAGCUUGCUUCCCCGGGCGUCGACCGGCGCACGGGUGAGUAACGCGUAUCCAACCUGCCUCUGACUGAGGGAUAACCCGUCGAAAGUCGGCCUAAUACCUCAUGGCAUCGUCUGCGGGCAUCCAACGACGAUUAAAGAUUUCAUCGGUCAGAGAUGGGGAUGCGUCUGAUUAGCUUGUUGGCGGGGUAACGGCCCACCAAGGCGACGAUCAGUAGGGGUUCUGAGAGGAAGGUCCCCCACAUUGGAGCUGCGACACGGUCCAAACUCCUACGGGAGGCAGCAGUGAGGAAUAUUGGUCAAUGGGGGAGAGCCUGAACCAGCCGAGUAGCGUGCAGGAUGACGGCCCUAUGGGUUGUAAACUGCUUUUAUGCGGGGAUAAAGUGAGGGACGUGUCCUUCAUUGCAGGUACCGCAUGAAUAAGGACCGGCUAAUUCCGUG